GGGGAUGUCGGCUAACUUGGUUCAGGCUACGGGGUUCGGGACUCCGUGAUCUCGGUUCAAAUCCGAGCUUCCUCA
rnacentral:tRNA from 1 species